rnacentral:rRNA from 1 species
GAUGAACGCUGGCGGCGUGCCUAAUACAUGCAAGUCGAGCGAACGGACGAGAAGCUUGCUUCUCUGAUGUUAGCGGCGGACGGGUGAGUAACACGUGGAUAACCUACCUAUAAGACUGUGAUAACUUCGGGAAACCGGAGCUAAUACCGGAUAAUAUUUUGAACCGCAUGGUUCAAAAGUGAAAGACGGUCUUGCUGUCACUUAUAGAUGGAUCCGCGCUGCAUUAGCUAGUUGGUAAGGUAACGGCUUACCAAGGCAACGAUGCAUAGCCGACCUGAGAGGGUGAUCGGCCACACUGGAACUGAGACACGGUCCAGACUCCUACGGGAGGCAGCAGUAGGGAAUCUUCCGCAAUGGGCGAAAGCCUGACGGAGCAACGCCGCGUGAGUGAUGAAGGUCUUCGGAUCGUAAAACUCUGCUAUUAGGGAAGAACAUAUGUGUAAGUAACUGUGCACAUCUUGACGGUACCUAAUCAGAAAGCCACGGCUAACUACGUG